rnacentral:rRNA from 1 species
AUACGGAGGGUCCAAGCGUUAUCCGGAAUCAUUGGGUUUAAAGGGUCCGCAGGCGGUCAAUUAAGUCAGAGGUGAAAGCCCAUCGCUCAACGAUGGAACUGCCUUUGAUACUGGUUGACUUGAGUUAUACGGAAGUAGAUAGUAUAAGUAGUGUAGCGGUGAAAUGCAUAGAUAUUACUUAGAAUACCGAUUGCGAAGGCAGUCUACUACGUAUAUACUGACGCUGAGGGACGAAAGCGUGGGGAGCGAACAGGAUUAGAUACCCUAGUAGUCC